GAUGAAGAACGUAGCGAAAUGCGAUAAGUAAUGUGAAUUGCAGAAUUCCGUGAAUCAUCGAAUCUUUGAACGCACAUUGCGCCCCCUGGCAUUCCGGGGGGCAUGCCUGUCCGAGCGUCAUUACAACCCUCAAGCUCAGCUUGGUGUUGGGCCCCGCCGCCCCGGCGGGCCCUAAAGUCAGUGGCGGUGCCGUCCGGCUCCGAGCGUAGUAAUUCUUCUCGCUCUGGAGGUCCGGUCGCGUGCUCGCCAGCAACCCCCAAUUUUUUUCAGGUUGACCUCGGAUCAGGUAGGGAUACCCGCUGAACUUAAGCAUAUCAAUAAGCGGAGGA
rnacentral:misc_RNA from 1 species